ensembl:snoRNA
CCCGCCACUGGACCGGUCCGACCCGGUGGCCGAGUUCAGUCCAGUGGAGGCUCAGAGCGACCCGGCUUUAGGAAACAGGGCGGCCCGUGUCGUGGACCGCUCUGUGCCGAAAAGCCCGGAACACCG